rnacentral:rRNA from 1 species
UACGUAGGGUCCGAGCGUUGUCCGGAAUUAUUGGGCGUAAAGGGCUCGUAGGCGGUUUGUCGCGUCGGGAGUGAAAACACGGGGCUUAACCCCGUGCCUGCUUCCGAUACGGGCAGACUAGAGGUAUGCAGGGGAGAACGGAAUUCCUGGUGUAGCGGUGAAAUGCGCAGAUAUCAGGAGGAACACCGGUGGCGAAGGCGGUUCUCUGGGCAUUACCUGACGCUGAGGAGCGAAAGCGUGGGGAGCGAACAGG